UAAGCCCAGGCUGCCUGUAAACCCUCAAACUUGCUAUGUAGCUUUGAAAUUCUGAUCCUCCUGCCUCCAGCUGCCAAGCACUGGGAUUGCAGGGGUGUGCUAGGAUACUCGGCCCCCGAUAUAUGGCAUUUAAUUUUGCACUGAGAGCUACUCUGUCUACCACUCAAGUGAAAUGCAUCCGUCCACUGCCUAACCACCACUCUCCCCUCUGCUAGAAACCUUUUCUCCAACCUACUUCAAAGCGUUUGGCUAUCUUCUAAAUGGUGAGGGUCAUCGACAUCCAAACCUUCAGACAGCGGAAGAUUGCAGUGUCAGCAUGGCGCGGCCAGGAGAGACCGUCACCAAGAAGCCGGGACAGGAAAGGGAUCUUUAUAAGCUAUGACUAACAAGAAAAGCAAACUUUAGUAAUUCAGAGGCUGAGAGACAGAAUGAGACUUUGGCCAGCCACACAGGGAAUGGAGCAAGCAGGAGCUGUGACACAGCCCAACGGUAGAGUACCUGCCAAGUACGAGGAAGUCCUUGGGUUCGAUCCCCAGCAUAGGAAGAGAGCCAAGCUUGGUUGUAUCCACUCACAAUCACAGAACUCCGAAGGUGAACGCAGGAGGCUGAGGAGUUUAAGGUCAGCCAGGACUCGACGAGACCUCUUGAGAACGAAAGGAAAGAAGGGGGGCCGAGGCAUGAAGCAGGUCUUGCCAUCAAGAACUGGCAGAGACAUUCUCCUCCCACUCCUGUCACCUGCAUCAGAAAUAACCUGAUUACAGGCACACAGCGUACAUAACCUAUGAACCACACCCAUGCUCUGGAAGGUAGGACCUCUCCGCUUCCUCCGAAACCCUUAUAGCUCUCCAGUAUCUAGGGACUCAUCACCAGGAGGCAGAGUUUGUGGAACAUAAGCACUCAACCACAGGACUGGAAGUGUUUCAAGGAGUGGGAAGCCAUCCAGGUAGCAGAGCAACUGAUGCAUGGAUAUCGUGGAUGGAAUGACAGUGUGGAGAGACAACUUCGCACGAGAAAGAAAGAAAUCAGGCAGAAGCCUGCAUCUUCAGAGGGCAGUGUCUGUGAAUCCGAGCGCAGCUGUGAGAACGCGUGUGAAUGCCGCCACUCAUCCUGUCUACCUAGGAGCUGUGUUGGGCAUCCAGCAUUCUUUAAUGGAUCAGAAGUGCAUAACUGCCAACUACAGAUUCUGCAGCAGCCUCCAGAAGCAUCAUGGUUCUCAUGCCUUCUCUCCAUGCUUUGUGCCACAGGCCAGGACCCAUCAGACUCUCAAGAGAGUCCUGUGGGCAAGUCAACUGUGGCUAGGGGCUGGUUCUCAGAUGCCCUGAGCUUACAGACUGGGGAUUGGGGGCCUUUCAAGACAUUUCCUUGCUCAAUUGUGGAUUGUUCAAGAAAGAAUAAAG
rnacentral:sRNA from 1 species